CCACUCAAUCUAACAUGAUUACCUUCUACAACCAAAGUUGCAAAAGCAAGAGCUUCUGCAAGUGCCCAGUCAAUUCCUUCCCCAGUUUCAAUCAUUUGUGCACGUUGUUCAUAAACCUUCUUUACAGCUCUGUGAGGCUUAAAAUUUUCAGGAAAAGUUGUAAUUGCCUUGCCAACAUUCUUCAAGAUCUCAGGUUUCACCCCAGUGUUUCGGAU
rnacentral:misc_RNA from 1 species